GUGCCAGCAGCCGCGGUAAUACCGGCAGCACGAGUGAUGGCCGAUCUUAUUGGGCCUAAAGCGUCCGUAGCUGGCCAGACAAGUCCGUUGGGAAAUCCACGUGCUUAACGCGUGGGCGUCCAGCGGAAACUGUCUGGCUUGGGGCCGGAAGACCCAAGGGGUACGUCCGGGAUAGGAGUGAAAUCCCGUAAUCCUGGACGGACCGCCGAUGGCGAAAGCACCUUGGGAGGACGGACCCGACAGUGAGGGACGAAAGCCAGGGUCUCGAACCGGAUUAGAUACCCUAGUAGUCC
rnacentral:rRNA from 1 species